rnacentral:rRNA from 1 species
CUUGUGGGGGAUAACCAGUCGAAAGACUGGCUAAUACCGCAUGAGAUCGAGAGAUGAAAGCAGGGGACCGCAAGGCCUUGCGCGAGAGGAGCGGCCGAUGCCGGAUUAGCUAGUUGGUGGGGUAAUGGCCUACCAAGGCGACGAUCCGUAGCUGGUCUGAGAGGACGACCAGCCACACUGGGACUGAGACACGGCCCAGACUCCUACGGGAGGCAGCAGUGGGGAAUUUUGGACAAUGGGGGCAACCCUGAUCCAGCCAUGCCGCGUGUGUGAAGAAGGCCUUCGGGUUGUAAAGCACUUUCGGACGGAACGAAAUCGCGCGGGUGAAUAUCCCGCGUGGAUGACGGUACCGUAAGAAGAAGCACCGGCUAACUACGUGCCAGCAGCCGCGGUAAUACGUAGGGUGCGAG